rnacentral:rRNA from 1 species
CAGUCGCCGCGGUAAUACGAAGGGUGCAAGCGUUAAUCGGAAUUACUGGGCGUAAAGCGUGCGUAGGCGGUUUGUUAAGUCUGUUGUGAAAUCCCCGGGCUCAACCUGGGAAUGGCAAUGGAUACUGGCAAGCUAGAGUGUGUCAGAGGAUGGUGGAAUUCCCGGUGUAGCGGUGAAAUGCGUAGAGAUCGGGAGGAACAUCAGUGGCGAAGGCGGCCAUCUGGGGCAACACUGACGCUGAGGCACGAAAGCGUGGGGAGCAAACAGGAUUAGAGACCCCGGUAGUCCCUGUCUCUUAUAC